GGUCAAGUUGUCAAGGGCGAACGGUGGAUGCCUUGGCACCAGGAGCCGAUGAAGGACGUGGGAGGCCGCGAUAGGCCUGGGGGAGCUGUCAACCAAGCUGUGAUCCCAGGGUGUCCGAAUGGGGGAACCCGGCAUCAGUCAUGUGAUGUCACCCGCACCUGAACACAUAGGGUGUGUGGGGGGAACGCGGGGAAGUGAAACAUCUCAGUACCCGUAGGAAGAGAAAACAAUUUAGUGAUUCCGUGAGUAGUGGCGAGCGAAAGCGGAUUGAGGCUAAACCGGCGGCGUGUGAUACCUGUCAGGGGUUGCGUGGUCGGGGUUGUGGGACCCUGCUGAUUGUGCUGACACACAGUCGAGAAGUUACAAAGCCAGUGGUUAGUCGAACAGUCUGGAAUGGCUGACCGUAGACGGUGAUAGUCCGGUAGGUGAAAGCUGCUGGUCUUCUGUGGGUGUUCCCGAGUAGCGGCGGACUCCUGAAAUCUGCCGUGAAUCUGCCAGGACCACCUGGUAAGCCUAAAUACUUCCUGGUGACCGAUAGCGGACGAGUACCGUGAGGGAAUGGUGAAAAGUACCCCGGGAGGGGAGUGAAAUAGUACCUGAAACCGUUCGCCUACAAUCCGUCGGAGCCUU
rnacentral:ncRNA from 1 species